CGAGUUUGAUCCUGGCUCAGGACGAACGCUGGCGGCGCGCCUAACACAUGCAAGUCGAACGGAGCUAUUUUGGAAGAACCCUUCGGGGGGACUCUGGCUUAGCUUAGUGGCGGACGGGUGAGUAACACGUGAGCAACCUGCCUCUCAGAGGGGGAUAACGUUUGGAAACGAACGCUAAUACCGCAUAACAUAUCGAGGCCGCAUGGCUUUGGUAUCAAAGGAGCAAUCCGCUGAGAGAUGGGCUCGCGUCCGA
rnacentral:rRNA from 1 species